ACGCUGGCGGCGUGCCUAAUACAUGCAAGUAGAACGCUGAAGAGAGGAGCUUGCUCCUCUUGGAUGAGUUGCGAACGGGUGAGUAACGCGUAGGUAACCUGCCUGGUAGCGGGGGAUAACUAUUGGAAACGAUAGCUAAUACCGCAUAAUAGCAGUUAUUGCAUGAUAACUGUUUGAAAGGUGCAAAUGCAUCACUACCAGAUGGACCUGCGUUGUAUUAGCUAGUUGGUGGGGUAACGGCUCACCAAGGCGACGAUACAUAGCCGACCUGAGAGGGUGAUCGGCCACACUGGGACUGAGACACGGCCCAGACUCCUACGGGAGGCAGCAGUAGGGAAUCUUCGGCAAUGGACGGAAGUCUGACCGAGCAACGCCGCGUGAGUGAAGAAGGUUUUCGGAUCGUAAAGCUUCUGUUGUAAGAGAAGAAACGAAGUGUGAGAAGUGGAAAG
rnacentral:rRNA from 1 species